UACGUAGGGACCGAGCGUUGUCCGGAAUCAUUGGGCGUAAAGAGCGUGUAGGCGGCCACUUAAGUCCUGCGUGAAAUCUUGCGGCUCAACCGCAAGCGGUCGUGGGAAACUGGGUGGCUAGAGUGCGGGAGAGGAGAGUGGAAUUCCUGGUGUAGCGGUGGAAUGCGUAGAUAUCGGGAGGAACACCAGUGGCGAAGGCGAUCAUCUGGGGAUGUUCUGACACUGAGGAGCGAAAGCUAGGGGAGCAAACGGG
rnacentral:rRNA from 1 species